AUUACAGACUAACUAAAGUUGAAACACUGAAAAAGCAUGAUAGCACCCCUUUAAGGUUUUUUUUUAGCCUGAGAUUUUUUGUCCUUCUUUUGUAACCAUAUAAUUUGUCCUUUCUGGUGAUAUUUAUAAUAGGCACUCCACCACGCUGCUGUCGAACAAGAUGAUCAUUUUUGGUGGGAGAAAAACUGCCAUCUACCUCAAUGAUCUUCUCAUCCUGGAUCUUGGCUUCAUGGAAUACACUGCGGUAAAAUACAAGAACAUGCCACCACUGCCCGUGGGUUUCACGCUGCUGGGUCCGUGUCUGACAACAGGUUACAUGCACGGUUGAACUCCCUGUUUAGGAUCAGGGACUACAGGGUUUUUUCUUAGAAAUGAAUGUAUGGUACUUACAAAAAAUUGGAACUUGAAGCACUUUUAGCGUUCGUUUUUUAACAGUGCAUUGUUGCAGUUUUAGCGUGAACAGCUGUUUUACAGCUACCGUUUUUAUAAUGAUUUCCUUAAAAGCAAGCAAAGCCUUUACUCUCUCUCACAUGUAGUUCAGAUUUGUUAUUUAGUACAUUCAGAGAAUGCAUUUUUGUGCAAUAAAUGUUUUCUCUUAUUUUGCAUGCACAUGUUUUCACAAUUGUAUUUUUGUCCACUUUUUGUGUUUCACUCACACAUUUUCCUUGAAGU